GUCCAGACUCCUACGGGAGGCAGCAGUGGGGAAUAUUGCACAAUGGGGGAAACCCUGAUGCAGCGACGCCGCGUGAGUGAAGAAGUAUUUCGGUAUGUAAAGCUCUAUCAGCAGGGAAGAAAAUGACGGUACCUGACUAAGAAGCCCCGGCUAACUACGUGCCAGCAGCCGCGGUAAUACGUAGGGGGCAAGCGUUAUCCGGAUUUACUGGGUGUAAAGGGAGCGUAGACGGCGGCGCAAGCCAGAUGUGAAAGCCCGGGGCUCAACUCCGGGACUGCAUUUGGAACUGUGUGGCUGGAGUGUCGGAGAGGCAGGCGGAAUUCCUAGUGUAGCGGUGAAAUGCGUAGAUAUUAGGAGGAACACCAGUGGCGAAGGCGGCCUGCUGGACGAUGACUGACGUUGAGGCUCGAAAGCGUGGGGAGCAAACAGGAUUAGAUACCCCAGUACGG
rnacentral:rRNA from 1 species